GGCAACGUGGCGGAGUGGUUAACGCGAUAGCCUCGAAAGCUAUUUCCUUCGGGAGCGUCGGUUCGAAUCCGACCGUUGUCG
rnacentral:tRNA from 1 species